UAUGUUUUCAUUUAUAACUUGUUUGUCAUUUUGAAAAAAAAGAAGUUAAUUAGAUUUUGUUUGAAUUUUAAAUGGGAUAAUUGUUAAAUUUAUUAGCGUUAAAAUAUGUAACGUUACACUCGGUUUGCGUGUGAUUAAUGUAGUUGCGUUGUAAACUAAAAUUUUGGACUCAUGCAUGCACGUAAAAAAAAAAUGCAUGACAUACAGAAUAUAUAAAAUGAGUUAAAGAAUGUUUUUUUGUACAUUUACAUGACUUUCCUUGUUUUUUUUAGGUUUCAGAUUCUUGUUUGUUUUGCAAACGUUUUACUGUUUAUUUUUUUUUUUAUUUUGUCAAGAUUCGCCUAGAUCCUUUGUGGAUUUCAUGGACUGGUAUUUAAGUUGUUUUAUUGUCCUCCCAAUUUGUUGCUUGUUUGAAUUGGAAUAAAAGAAAAGUAAAAUAAAAUAUUAUCAUACGGGAAACUGUAGUGUCAUAAAAGCAGACUGGCAAUACAUUAAAAUAUGACAUUAAAAUAUUAAAAAGUUACAUUUCUUUCAACAUAUUUAUAUUAAGUUUUUAAAGAGUACGUUUAGGUUAAUAUAAUCACUUCUUUUAAAAAAAAAUGAGAGAACAAUUCGUAAAGGAAUGAGUUUAGGUCCUAGACCAAAAGAAUUUAAAGUCUAACAUACAAGUGAAAAUUAACGAUGAAGUUGGAAAGCCCUGCUACCGACCAUUCGUUAUAAUUAAAUUAAUUUACCAUUCGAAGCCAAUUGAAUUGGGUUGGGUAGGUUUUAAACCCAUUAGGUGCUUAUUUAGAUUAGGAAAAUCGGAACGACUCAUAAAUGCCUCAAAGGCGCGAGAAACGUGCCAAAAUUUGUGGUGAGGCUGAAAAGUACUACUAUCGGUAAGCCACAAGUCAAUAUAAUAAAUAAUUUCAAAUAAAUUAAAAGCGGGAGGCAAACAACUUUUAGGUUAACAAAUAUU
rnacentral:lncRNA from 1 species